UGAGCCAGACAACGCCUUUAUCCUCCGCAGCUGCAGCCCCGGGCACGGAGUCUCAGCGCGCGCCGAGCCCUGGAAAAUCCCAGCUCCUUUGCUCUCCAUGCUCCAGACAGUAUGCUCUAAGGUGGAAGACAGAUGUGUCAGUGAAAAACUAGCAUGAUGAAUGCUACACAGAACAAAGCAUCCCAGGAGCAGUCUCUCCUGGGAACAGAGAAGGCUCCGUGGAGAAACAGGAAGUCCUCCGUGGAGGAACAGGAAGUCCUCCAUGGAGGAACAGGAAGUCAGACCUGUGAAGAAAGGUGAGGUGACUGGACACAAGACAUUCUUCGUGAGAAGAGCAGGUUGGCAGUGGACAAAAGAAGAUUCUUCAUAUGAGAGAAAACAUGCGAUAUUUGAC